CAGUCGCCACGGUAAUACGUAGGUGGCGAGCGUUGUCCGGAAUUAUUGGGCGUAAAGGGAGCGCAGGCGGACAUAUAAGUCCAUCUUAAAAGUGCGGGGCUCAACCCCGUGAGGGGAUGGAAACUGUAUGCCUUGAGUGCAGGAGAGGAAAGCGGAAUUCCCAGUGUAGCGGUGAAAUGCGUAGAUAUUAGGAAGAACACCAGUGGCGAAGGCGACUUUCUGGACGAAAACUGACGCUGAGGCGCGAAAGCCAGGGGAGCGAACGGGAUUAGAUACCCCCGUAGUCCCUGUCUCUUAUACA
rnacentral:rRNA from 1 species